UACGUAGGGCGCAAGCGUUGUCCGGAAUUAUUGGGCGUAAAGAGCUCGUAGGCGGUUUGUCGCGUCGACUGUGAAAACCCGAGGCUUAACCUCGGGCCUGCAGUCGAUACGGGCAGACUAGAGUUCGGUAGGGGAGACUGGAAUUCCUGGUGUAGCGGUGAAAUGCGCAGAUAUCAGGAGGAACACCGGUGGCGAAGGCGGGUCUCUGGGCCGAUACUGACGCUGAGGAGCGAAAGCGUGGGGAGCGAACAGG
rnacentral:rRNA from 1 species